CACGCCCUAAACGAUGAUUACUCGACAUCAGCGAUACACUGUUGGUGUCUGAGCGAAAGCAUUAAGUAAUCCACCUGGGAAGUACNUACGCGAGGAACCUUACCUGGGCUAGAAUGCAAUUUGACAGUGGGUGAAAGCUCAUCUUGUAGCAAUACACAGAUUGUAAGGUGC
rnacentral:rRNA from 1 species